GAGUUUGAUCCUGGCUCAGGACGAACGCUGGCGGCGUGCUUAACACAUGCAAGUCGAACGGAAAGGCCCCGCUCGCGGGGUACUCGAGUGGCGAACGGGUGAGUAACACGUGGGUGAUGUGCCCUGCACUUCGGGAUAAGCCUGGGAAACUGGGUCUAAUACCGGAUAUGACCUCCCUUUAGUGUGGGGGGUGGAAAGAUUUAUCGGUGCAGGAUGAGCCCGCGGCCUAUCAGCUUGUUGGUGGGGUAAUGGCCUACCAAGGCGUCGACGGGUAGCCGGCCUGAGAGGGUGGACGGCCACAUUGGGACUGAGAUACGGCCCAGACUCCUACGGGAGGCAGCAGUGGGGAAUAUUGCACAAUGGGCGGAAGCCUGAUGCAGCGACGCCGCGUGGGGGAUGACGGCCUUCGGGUUGUAAACCUCUUUCGACAGGGACGAAGUGAAAAUGACGGUACCUGUAUAAGAAGCACCGGCUAACUACGUGCCAGCAGCCGCGGUAAUACGUAGGGUGCGAGCGUUGUCCGGAAUUACUGGGCGUAAAGAGCUCGUACGUGGUUUGUCACGUCGUCUGUGAAAUUCCGGGGGCUUAACCUCGGGCGUGCAGGCGAUACGGGCAAUACUUGAGUGCUGUAGGGGAGACUGGAAUCCCUGGUGUAGCGGUGAAGUGCGCAGAUAUCAGGAGGACCACCAAUGGCCAAGGCAGUUCUCUGGGCAGUUACUGACGCUGAGGAGCGAAAGCAUGGGUAGCGAACAGGAUUAGAUACGCUGGUAGUCCAUGCCGUAAACGGUGGGCGCUAGGUGUAGGGGACUUCCACGUUCUCUGUGCCGUAGCUAACGCAUUAAGCGCCCCGCCUGGGGAGUACGGCCGCAAGGCUAAAACUCAAAGGAAUUGACGGGGGCCCGCACAAGCGGCGGAGCAUGUGGAUUAAUUCGAUGCAACGCGAAGAACCUUACCUGGGCUUGACAUACACCGGACCGGCGUAGAGAUACGUCUUCCCUUGUGGCCGGUGUACAGGUGGUGCAUGGUUGUCGUCAGCUCGUGUCGUGAGAUGUUGGGUUAAGUCCCGCAACGAGCGCAACCCUUGUCUUAUGUUGCCAGCACGUGAUGGUGGGGACUCAUGAGAGACUGCCGGGGUCAACUCGGAGGAAGGUGGGGAUGACGUCAAAUCAUCAUGCCCCUUAUGUCCAGGGCUUCACACAUGCUACAAUGGUCGGUACAGCAGGUCGCGAACUCGUGAGAGUAAGCCAAUCCUUCAAAGCCGGCCUCAGUUCGGAUUGGGGUCUGCAACUCGACCCCAUGAAGUCGGAGUCGCUAGUAAUCGCAGAUCAGCAACGCUGCGGUGAAUACGUUCCCGGGCCUUGUACACACCGCCCGUC
rnacentral:rRNA from 1 species